CCUACGGGAGGCUGCAGUGAGGAAUAUUGGUCAAUGGGCGCGAGCCUGAACCAGCCAAGUAGCGUGAAGGAUGACUGCCCUACGGGUUGUAAACUUCUUUUAUCAAGGAAUAAAGUGUGGCACGUGUGCCUUUUUGUCUGUACUUUAUGAAUAAGGAUCGGCUAACUCUGUGCCAGCAGCCGCGGUAAUACGGAGGUGGCAAGCUUUGUCCGGAUUUACUGGGUGUAAAGGGCGUGUAGCCGGGUUGUCAAGUCAGAUGUGAAAUCCUGCGGCUUAACCGCAGAACUGCAUUUGAAACUGUUGAUCUUGAGUACUGGAGAGGGAGACGGAAUUCGUAGUGUAGCGGUGAAAUGCGUAGAGAUUAGGAGGAACACCAGUGGCGAAGGCGGUCUGCUGGACAGCAACUGACGGUGAGGCGCGAAAGCGUGGGGAGCAAACAGGAUUAGAUACCCUGGUAGUC
rnacentral:rRNA from 1 species